rnacentral:rRNA from 1 species
CUCAGUAACACGUGGAUAACCUAACCUGAGAUGGGGGAUAAUCUCGGAAAACUGAGGAUAAUACCCCAUAGACCUUCGAUACUGGAAUGUUCAAAGGUUGAAAGUUACGGCGUCUCAGGAUGGGUCUGCGGCCUAUCAGGUUGUAGUGAGUGUAAAGGACUCACUAGCCGACGACGGGUACGGGCUGUGGGAGCAGUUGCCCGGAGAUGGACUCUGAGACACGAGUCCAGGCCCUACGGGGCGCAGCAGGCGCGAAAACUUCACAAUGCGCGCAAGCGCGAUGAGGGGAUUCCAAGUGCAUGCACUAUGUGUAUGCUGUUUACUAGUUUAAAGUGCUAGUAGAGUAAGGGCUGGGUAAGACUGGUGCCAGCCGCCGCGGUAAUACCAGCGGCCCUAGUGGUGAUCGUUAUUAUUGGGCCUAAAGCGUCCGUAGCCGGUCCGGUAAAUCUCUGGGUAAAUCGUUGGGCUUAACCCAGCGAAUUCUGGGGAGACUGCCGGACUUGGGACCGGGAGAGGUUGGAGGUACUCCAGGGGUAGGGGUGAAAUCCUGUAAUCCUUGGGGGACCACCGGUGGCGAAAGCGUCCAACCAGAACGGGUCCGACGGUAAGGGACGAAGCCCUGGGGCGCGAACCGGAUUAGAUACCCGGGUAGUCCAGGGUGUAAACGCUGUGCGCUUGGUGUUGGGGGUCCUACGAGGGCACUCAGUGCCGUAGAGAAGUUGUUAAGCGCACCGCCUGGGGAGUACGGUCGCAAGACUGAAACUAAAG